rnacentral:rRNA from 1 species
UUUUUGGAGAGUUUGAUCUUGGCUCAGGACGAACGCUGGCGGCGUGCCUAAUACAUGCAAGUCGAGCGCGGGAAUCUCUUCUGAUCCCUUCGGGGUGAAGAGAGUGGAACGAGCGGCGGACGGGUGAGUAACACGUGGGCAACCUACCUAUAAGACUGGGAUAACUCGCGGAAACGUGAGCUAAUACCGGAUAAUACUUUUUAUUGCAUAGUAAGAAGUUUGAAAGGCGGCGUAAGC